rnacentral:rRNA from 1 species
AGGCAUUAGUAUCUGAACUCUGGUAGUCUGGCGUCUGAUGUCUGGGUCUAGUGGCGGACGGGUGAGUAACACGUAGGUAAUCUACCCUCAAGACGGGGACAACCCAGGGAAACUUGGGCUAAUACCGGAUGUGUGUAGUGGCUAUUUUUCUGAUUAUCAUUAUUUACGUAAGUGAGUAAUAAUAAGAAGGGAAAGUGGUUACUACAUAAAAGGUGGCGUAAGCUGCCGCUUGGGGAUGAGCCUGCGUCCUAUUAGUUAGUUGGUGAGGUAACGGCUUACCAAGGCGAUGAUAGGUAGGCGGCCUUAACGGGUGGUCGCCCACACUGGGAUUGAGAUACGGCCCAGACUCCUACGGGAGGCAGCAGUCGAGAAUAGUCUACAAUGGACGGAAGUCUGAUAGUGCGACGCCGCGUGAACGAAGAAUCCCUUCGGGGUGUAAAGUUCUUUUAUACGUGAGCAGUGUCCUUUAUAUUAAUAGUAUAAGGGGAGAGAUAUUAGCGUAUGAAUAAGCAACGGCUAACUCCGUG